AUGUAUUUGAAAAGGAGCCUCGUCUCUCCCCCACAUUCCGUUGGCUCUCCCCCACAAUUCCGGUUGGCUCGGCUCUCACCCCACAUUCCGGUGGCUCGGCUCUCCCCCUCUCUCUCCCACGCUCUCUCGCUCUUCUCCCAAGCUGCCGCUCUCCUCUCUCUCGCGCUCCUCUCCUCUCUCUCGCGCUCCUCUCCUCUCUCGCGCUCCUCUCGCGCUCUCUCUCGCGCUCGCUCCUCUCGCGCUCCUCUCCUCUCUCUCGCGCUCCUCUCCUCUCUCGCGCUCUCUCUCGCGCUCCGCUCUCUCUCCGCGCUCCGCUCUCUCUCUCGCUCCGCUCUCUCUCUCGCUCCGCUCUCUCUCUCGCUCCGCUCUCACGCUCCGCUCUCACGCCCCGCUCCCACGCUCCGCCCUCUCGCUCCGCUCUCCCGCGCUCCGCUCUCUCUCUCUCCCGCGCUCCGCUCUCUCUCUCCCGCGCUCCGCUCUCUCUCUCUCCCGCGCUCCGCUCUCUCUCUCUCCAGCUCUCGCUCUCUCUCUCUCCCGCUCUCGCUCGCUCUCUCUCCCGCUCCCGCUCGCUCUCUCUCCCGCGCUCCGCUCUCCCGCUCUCUCCCGCGCUCCGCUCUCUCUCUCUCCCGCGCUCCGCUCUCUCUCUCUCCCGCGCUCCGCUCUCUCUCUCUCCCGCGCUCUCCUCUCUCUCUCCCGCGCUCCGCUCUCUCUCUCUCCCGCGCUCCGCUCUCUCUCUCUCCCGCGCUCCGCUCUCUCUCCGCGCUCCGCUCUCUCUCUCCCGCGCUCCGCUCUCUCUCGCGCGCUCCGCUCUCUCUCGCGCGCUCGCUCUCGCUCGCUCUCCCUCUCUCCGCGCCUCCGCUCUCUCUCCCGCGCUCCUCUCUCUCUCUCUCUCCCGCCGCUCGCUCUCUCUCUCUCUCCCGCGCUCCGCUCUCUCUCUCUCUCUCCCGCGCUCCGCUCUCUCUCCCGCGCUCCGCUCUCUCUCCCGCGCUCCGCUCUCUCUCCCGCGCUCCGCUCUCUCUCUCUCUCCCGCGCUCCGCUCUCUCUCUCUCUCCCGCGCUCCGCUCUCUCUCUCUCUCCCGCGCUCCGCUCUCUCUCUCUCUCCCGCGCUCCGCUCUCUCUCUCUCCCGCGCUCCGCUCUCUCUCUCUCCCGCGCUCCGCUCUCUCUCUCUCCCGCGCUCCGCUCUCUCUCUCCCACGCUCCGCUCUCUCUCUCCCACGCUCCGCUCUCUCUCUCCCACGCUCCGCUCUCUCUCUCCCAGCUCCGCUCCCCACGCUCCGCUCUCUCUCGCUCUCUCCCACGCUCCGCUCUCUCUGCUCUCUCCCACGCUCCGCCUACUCGCUCUCUCUCCCGUACGCUCGCUCUCUCUGGUGGCUCCAUCUCUUCUCAUUAAUAACUGAUUUAGAUUUUCUUUCUGAUGCACAUUGUGUAAGGUUACUUUGA
rnacentral:lncRNA from 1 species